ensembl:lncRNA
AUAAAGUAGAACGCAGUUCAACUGUAAAAGAGCACAAGUGAAUUUAAGUUUAUACAUAUGAGAAAGACCGUAGAACUCGGCCUGACAUUGCUGCUAUACACAUUCAUUGUGGGUAGAGGUUCUCACUGUCAGAUACUGCUACUGGAUUGCAGAUUGCAAAGCUGUUUGAUUCACAAGAUUCUAAUUGAUGGACUGGAGUCGUGUAGAUUACUUGAGGAUUGCGGUGGCGUUUUAAUCAGCUGUUUGGACUCUGACGGCACCUAUUCACUCUAGAGGAUCCAUUGGUAAGCAAGUGAUGUAAUUCUAAAUUUCUCCAAAUCUGCUCAGAUGAAAAAACAAGCUCAUCUACAUCUUAGAUGGCCUGAAGGGGAGUAAAUUUCCAUUUUUGGAAGAACUAUUGCAUUAGCUUAAGGAUCUGACACCAGGCUACAGUACUUUUACAGGAAGAUACUUUUACCAAAAAUACUCAUCGAUCGAACUGCAGCAGGAAAACAACAACAACAAAAAACAUAUAACACACAAAAGUGCUUGGGUUGAUUACAUUUUGUCCCUUAGGUGUGAAAGUCUGACUUAUUUGCUCACUGCCAAAUGGUGAAAAGCACACACAUCAUGUUUGACGCUAAUUAGAAGCCACAAGCUACACACACGAUUCAGAGGUUUGAAAUGACUAUGUGAUUCCAAAGGGAACAGCAACAUGACACAAUGACUGACUCACCGGCGCCGACUCUCAAUAUCAAUUCUCUCAAUACCAACUUGUUAUGCCCUCACCAGGGGUAACGUAACAUAGCCAUUUGGGGGAUGCUGAAAGAAACUGCAUGAUUAGUAUGUUGCCUGGUGUUUGUUCUUUGAGAGGUUGUUUCUUAUUGAGACCAUUGACUGUGCUGGCCAUGAUGAACAGCAUGUGCAUUUAAGGAAUGUUUUUUGAUGGCUUUAUCUUGAAAUUCAAGGAAGUAAUUGAGUUGGGUCUUACUCAGGAAACUGGCAUGGAGAUACCUCACAUCCAUCAAAUCUACUUUUUGUUUUGACAUCCUUCAAAAACGUUGUUCUCUCUGUAUGACAUCCAAGUUCACCUAAACUACCCCUGUAUUGGAAAGCAAAACCUAUAAAAAUAUUUAUUAUCUUUUCUUCAUUUAUUGUGGACAGCCAGUGGAACAUUAUUGCUCAGAGAUUGCUCUAGCUCAUGAAACUUGAUAGAGUUUUAUUUAAACAACAAAUUUGUCUCAACAUUAUGUAAUGUCUCUGCACUCUGGGUUUUCCAUUUCCUGCUACUUGUGUAUCUAAAAUUCCUCAGUAGAAAUAAAUGUAGAAACAAAUGAGUAUGGAACUAAAUAUGAAUGUGGA